GCAUUUUAUGGCUGGUGCGACUUAUACUCCGGUGCGACCUAUAGUCCAAAAAUUACGGUAGUUAAAAGCUUUUAUGCAUUUUUGAUUGGCUGUUAACCUCCGCAAAAUUUGCAGCGAAACUUUUAACCGAAAGGUCAGCCACUCAUGAAACCUAUAAUGCGCAACUGUUCAGUCAGGUUUAGUCGGCCUGGACUUAACCAUGUUCUUCUUCCUGCAGCAGGUCCUGGAUAGCAUCCAUCCUAUAAGUAAAGCACUCCGUUUGUUCUUUGACAAGGGAACGCGCACAACUGCCGAACUAGGCCUCCUGCUCAGGAGACCGCCAAUGUGCAGCUGUCAAUGUCUCCAUAAAGCCCCAUAUCCAUAAUAGACAAAGCACUCAUCAAGCCUCGGCUUCAUCUGGCCUCCCAGAUGCCCCAUCACCAGGGGCAAAUCCCAUCCAGGUCUCAGCGCCGCACCGUGCAGCCAGAUGUGCGCUGGCAACAUGGCCGUGGGGUCAACACAUGGCCAAGGUAGAGCCGAUAAAUGAAUUAUACUCUGAUUAUCAUAAAUGUGGCAUCUAAGCAUUGUGUGGCAUUAAAAUACCAGGAUGUAGGUGUUGCAUCACGCACGUACGGACUUGCAAGAAAGUAUCAAGCGACCGUGUUUUGGCAAUGGUUUACAAAUGGCUGAAAGUUUCUGCAGGAGGAAAAUGACACGUUUGAGCCAAAGCGCAUUUCGGAUUCUCGGAAUGGUUGGCUGCCAUAUGCCCUGUAUUUGUACAUCAUUCCGCAAUGUUCUAGGUCGCUCUCCCAAACAUAUUCCGUUUCGUCCCAUGCCAAAAAGACCUUUUUCCCCCCUCCGCCUCCAUCCCGCCGUUCCUCGUUUCGCCGCGUUUGCGCCCGGCCUUGGCUCCUCGUACUUUCCCCCCCUUUAAGACACCAUGCCAACUUCAGAGGACCCAGGUGUAUGGGUGCCUUAUCAAUUCCACUAACAAGCGUGCUUACUGGGAUCACAGGACACUUUGUGGCUUGCUUUUAAGUCCCCGUCUGUAGCCAAGAGUGACCUGAAUUGGAGACACGGGGCUCCCCUUGCUGAUAGCAGCCAACCUCUGAUGGGCAGUCCCUCUUCCAGACUUGGCCAGCGCUCCACGUGGGAAGGAGGAGGGAAGCGCAAAAGAAGUCUUUGAAAUGCUGGAGUUCCAUGAAGAAUUCAGAAGCAGGAUGGAUUCAAAGGCUUCUGCUAGAGGAAAGGAAGGAAGUGGAGAAACAAAACUUGGGCAGAGACGGGAUACUUUCUGGAGUGAUGUAUUCUACUGUCUUGGAACACAGUGGCUGAUGUCACCCCCCCUCCCACAUGAGCCGUGAUUGAUUGGUGACCAGUCGACAUUCAGAGAUCAACAAUGCAUACCUCAAACUGGAUCUUUGGUGUUAUCAUGAUGUUGCUCCAGUUCGCCAUUGACCCUUAACAAGAUAAGUGAGCUUUUUGAGGAGGAAGCGCUUGGAAAUGACAUGAGUGAGCAGCACAACAUGGAGCGGUGCAGAUGAGGAGCGAGCAAGUCAAAAAAGCUGACAACGUUAAUAUGGAAGCAAACAGAGAGCGCAGCCUGGCAGUCACUCAAAUUAUGCACCUGCACCUUUAUAGAAAGAAAAAAAGAAACAGCCUCUCUGGUGUCUUGCCUCUCUUUUUCUUUUUUGUUUUCCUCAUUUUUGCUCCUUCUCCCCACUUUGCUUGCCAUGUGCCGUGCUGUGGCUCGCGGCGUUGUCGUUUUCGAAGCGUUGUCUCUCCUUUGUGGUGUGUGCGUGUGUUAAUUGCGGCCAUCCUUCGGGAGGAGACAACGGUGAAGAUAAAGAAUACCUGUUUGAGAGCGGCCACAUUGGCUUCUGUUCUUCGAUUCACACUUGAACAGCAAGAGGAGAAGAUACCACCCGAGAGUGUCUUGCCACUAUGUAUUCCGUGACACCAACUUUGGCCUUUCAGCUCAACUUUGACAUUUUCUCGUGGGCUUUGUGACCAUAUGUGCUCAUGGCGGGUUGGGGCGAAUGUUUUCAGAUUCACCAUCUAACUCGUUUUGAGGAACAUGAAGAUGCUCCCUGCCAGAGACGGGGACAUUCGGACACAUUGUCGCUUUUGCUCACGAUGGCGAACAAGUGUUGGUCAGCAGCACAGAUGAGUUGUGGGAAAACAAGCAGCUGGAGGAGGAGAGAAAAGACCAUAAGGCUGGACGGCUUGCCAAAUUUCAUCAUCUAUUAUGGAUUGCCUGAGAUGCGUAUUCUCCUGCAAACCUGAGCUUGUCUCUUACUCACAUGCAAUCACAGAGGUCUGUAUGUAAUCUCAA